rnacentral:lncRNA from 1 species
CUGAAACACAUACCACGAAAUUCUAUUAACAUUUAGAGAAUUUUCACUGACAAUUUCAAAGCCAGUGAGGAAAAAGAGGAAAACAUUGUGAUCAAAUAUACUUCUGUUUGUUUGGUUUUCCUCCUGAUUAGUCUGAGAGACAAGGUCAAGCAGAGAGGUAAAAUCAGACAGAAUCAAACCGCUGGAAUAAGCCUCAGUUUGUGGGAGCAGGAUGCUGUAAGACUCUUCCUAGUUGACAGUUGUUCUGUAAGCCAAACAAAUGAGAGGAGGAUGAUCUACUUUACACUUACUACUGCAAAUAACUGACUGUAUUGCACUGUACAGCUGACUGUACAGCUCCUUGGUGAAUAACACAGACAUAUGAGUUGAUUCAUCCUCACACACAGAAAUAUUUUCUCAUCUGAUGGAAUAUGUCAUCAUAUGUUCAAAGAUGGCAAUGGAAUGUGAAAUGAGAGAAAUAUGAAACAAACAAAAAGACUGAUGCAGAUAAUUCACAUGGCAGUAUUCGGGGAAGGAAAGAAAAGAAGAGAUGGUCAUGAUGUGGGAAGAUGUAAGAGGCACAGGAACACACAACAGAUAUUCAUAAGAAAUUGCUGCUUAUGGAAUUGCUUGCUUGUUGUUAACCUUCUUGUCAGUACCUUAUUUUUACGAGGGCAUUAUAAUGCAAUUCAUCUGAGACCUUGCUUCUCUACUGCCAUGGUACCACCCCCAAAGAUGUCACAUUUUCUGUAUCUGAUACAUAGGAUUUGGUUUCAUUUCUUCUUAGUA